rnacentral:rRNA from 1 species
GAGAAGCUCUUCAUAGGAGGAGACCUCAAUGGCCACGUGGGUACAUCUAACACAGGUUUUGAAGGGGCGCAUGGGGGCUUUGGCUAUGGCAUCAGGAAUCAAGAAGGAGAAGAUGUCUUAAGCUUUGCUCUAGCCUACAACAUGAUUAUAGCUAACACCCUCUUUAGAAAGAGAGAAUCACAUCUGGUGACUUUUAGUAGUGGCCAACACUCUAGCCAGAUUGAUUUCAUCCUCUCGAGAAGAGAAGAUAGGCGUGCGUGCCUAGACUGUAAGGUGAUACCUGAAGAGAGUGUUGUACCCCAGCAUAAGCUGGUGGUUGCUGACUUCCGCUUUCGGAUUCUUGUCCAGCGGGAUAAGCGUGUCAGAGUCGCUAGAACGAAGUGGUGGAAGCUCAAGGGGGAGGUAGCCCAGGCGUUCAAGGAGAGGGUCAUUAAGGAGGGCCCUUGGGAGGAAGGAGGGGAUGCGGACAAUGUGUGGAUGAAGAUGGCGACUUGCAUUCGUAAGGUGGCCUCGGAGGAGUUUGGAGUGUCCAGGGGAAGGAGAAGCGAAGAUAAGGAUACCUGGUGGUGGAAUGAUGAUGUCCAGAAGGCGAUUAAAGAGAAGAAAGAU